GAACUUGAGAGAGGAGAGUCUCUUCGCCGAGGUCUGGAGAGUGAAAUAUCAUUUGCUAGAAAAGAGGCUCAUUUACAGAUGUAUUCUGCAGAGGAUGAGCUAUGUGAUGUAAAAGCCAAACUUUUGGAACUGCAAGUGCUCAAUGACAAACAUCAGCAGAAAGCAGCAGAGACUGAGAAAAUGUUUCAAAGUGCUCAGUGGCAGUGGGAGGAGGAACAACAAAGAAUUGCAGUGGAGAGAGAUAACAUUCGCAGAGUAUACCUUGCUGAGAUGGAAUUCCUUAUUAAAGAAAAAAUUAAAACAGAAACGGCUUGUCCGGAAAUGAAUGCUGUCCUGAAAAACAUGCUCAGGAAGUUGAGGGAUAUAGAGGUAGAGCACCAUGGCUGCAGCGAGAUGCUGAGGCUCCAGGCCAACCAUCUGGAUUUCAAGGAAAAACGUCAGG
rnacentral:lncRNA from 1 species